rnacentral:rRNA from 1 species
AGUGAACGCUGGCGGUAGGCCUAACACAUGCAAGUCGAACGGCAGCACAGUAAGAGCUUGCUCUUACGGGUGGCGAGUGGCGGACGGGUGAGGAAUGCAUCGGAAUCUACUUUUUCGUGGGGGAUAACGUAGGGAAACUUACGCUAAUACCGCAUACGACCUACGGGUGAAAGCAGGGGAUCUUCGGACCUUGCGCGAUUGAAUGAGCCGAUGUCGGAUUAGCUAGUUGGCGGGGUAAAUGCCCACCAAGGGGACGAUCCGUAGCUGGUCUGAGAGGAUGAUAAGCCACACUGGAAGUGAGACACGGUCCAGACUCCUACGGGAGGCAGCAGUGGGGAAUAUUGGACAAUGGGCGCAAGCCUGAUCCAGCCAUACCGCGUGGGUGAAGAAGGCCUUCGGGUUGUAAAGCCCUUUUGUUGGGAAAGAAAGGCAGCAGGUUAAUACCCCGCUGUUCUGACGGUACCCAAAGAAUAAGCACCGGCUAACUUCGUG